rnacentral:rRNA from 1 species
UACGGAGGGUGCAAGCGUUAAUCGGAAUUACUGGGCGUAAAGCGUGCGCAGGCGGUUCGUUGUGUCGGUGGUGAAAUCCCCGGGCUUAACCUGGGAAUGGCCAUGGAAACUGGCGAACUGGAGUGCGGCAGAGGGGGGUGGAAUUCCACGUGUAGCAGUGAAAUGCGUAGAGAUGUGGAGGAACACCGAUGGCGAAGGCAGCCCCCUGGGCUAACACUGACGCUCAUGCACGAAAGCGUGGGGAGCAAACAGG